rnacentral:tRNA from 1 species
AGAGGUUUACUUUAAGUAAGAAGAAAUAGCUUGCAACUAUUAAGUGAUCCUAAAGGAUCAACUUCUA